GCUUAAAGGUCACCUAGUCCAGCCCCCCUGCAAAGAGCAGAGACAUCCCACUGCAGUGAGCAGCUGCCCCUCCACAUGAAGUCAGCAACGUGUCCAUAGUGCCUUGGAAAGAAAGUUGUUAACUGGGGAAGGAGACACAAGAGGAUGCCUGUUUGGUUGCUCAAAAGGAGAUGUGGGAAGAGAUGCAGAAGGAUGCACAAAAAGGAGAUGCAUGAAGGAGAAAUGUGAAGACACACAUCUAGAGUAAUUAUGUGGAAGAGAUGUGGAAAGGAACAUUUUUAGCGGCACUAUUGGAGAUACAGUCAUGGAAAGUGGUGCUCCAGCUUGGAGGAGAUAUGGCUCUGAUAGAACUCUGGCUGUUUUGCCAACUCACACUGAGACAAGAACUCUUCUGAAGGACUAUGGUCCAUGGAUGAUCCACAGUAUGUCUGAAAGCAAUAACAAGUGAAGAGCAGGUGAGGAGGAAAGCAAUAAACAGGGAUUGGCACAAUGAAACCAUGACAUGCUGAUAUCUCAUGCAUUGCCCAUCACCACAGUGAAGGGAUUGGAGAAGAUGGAGCACAACAUGGUGCAAAUAAAACAAGAGGAGUACAGGAAAGGGGGGAGGAAAGUUGGAUUGAAGUUGAACCUGCAGAGCACAAAAGAGAGAUUUCCCUAAGCUUUAUAUAAUUGCCUAUGUCUUUGAUUUUCAACACCUGAAUCAGUAUGGAAAAGUUUAUUUUAAUUGGCAAUAAAUUAAAUUAAUUGAG